rnacentral:rRNA from 1 species
CAAUAGCGUAUAUUAAAGUUGUUGCAGUUAAAAAGCACGUAGUUGGAUUUCUGGUGGGAGCGAUCGGUCUGGCGCUUAGCGCGAGUACUUGCAUCGUCUCCGGCCAUCCUUGGGGAGAGUCUGUCUGGCAUUAGGUUGUCGGGCAGAGGAUCCUCAUCGUUUACUGUGAAAAAAUUAGAGUGUUCAAAGCAGGCUUAUGCCGUUGAAUAUAUUAGCAUGGAAUAAUAAGAUAGGACUUUGGUACUAUUUUGUUGGUUUGCGCACCAAAGUAAUGAUUAAUAGGGACAGUUGGGGGUAUUCGUAUUCCGUUGUCAGAGGUGAAAUUCUUGGAUUUACGGAAGACGAACUACUGCGAAAGCAUUUACCAAGGAUGUUUUCAUCAA